rnacentral:lncRNA from 1 species
GCUGCUGAUGUGCCUGAGAAGCAACACCACGCUGCAUGGGCAUGUUUCCCGGGUUCAUUCCAGCACCCAUGCCAGCUUGAGAAGCAAGGUUGUAAGCAGACAUGCCCUGCGUAUAAUAGUACCGGACUGAUUAGAGCAACCUGCUGCUGAUGUGCCUGAGAAGCAACACCACGCUGCAUGGGCAUGUUUCCCGGGUUCAUUCCAGCACCCAUGCCAGCUUGAGAAGCAAGGUUGUAAGCAGACAUGCCCUGAGGCAUCCUUUGCAUGUUGACCAUUGGCAUCGGUCGGGGCACAGAUCUAUUCGGCAUUACAUGGGGACCUUGCAUGCCACCAGAUGCUGCAUUUCCUGAUGAUAC